rnacentral:rRNA from 1 species
UGAGGAAUAUUGCACAAUGGGGGAUACCCUGAUGCAGCAACGCUGCGUGGAGGAUGACGGCCUUUGGGUUGUAAACUCCUUUUCUGAGGGAAGAGCAAGGACGGUACCUCAGGAAUAAGGCCCGGCUAACUACGUGCCAGCAGCCGCGGUAAUACGUAGGGGCCAAGCGUUAUCCGGAAUUACUGGGCGUAAAGCGCACGCAGGCGGCACAUCAAGUCUGGUGUGAAAGCUCCCGGCUCAACUGGGAGAGGUCGCUGGAUACUGAUGUGCUUGAGGCAGCGAGAGGGGUGUAGAAUUCCCGGUGUAGUGGUGGAAUGCGUAGAUAUCGGGAGGAAUACCAGUGGCGAAGGCGACACCCUGGCACUGACCUGACGCUCAUGUGCGAAAGCGUGGGGAGCGAACGGGAUUAGAUACCCCCGUAGUCC